rnacentral:rRNA from 1 species
AUUGAACGCUGGCGGCAUGCUUUACACAUGCAAGUCGAACGGUAACAGGCCGCAAGGUGCUGACGAGUGGCGAACGGGUGAGUAAUGCAUCGGAACGUGCCCAGUCGUGGGGGAUAACGCAGCGAAAGCUGCGCUAAUACCGCAUACGAUCUAUGGAUUAAAGCGGGGGACCGUAAGGCCUCGCGCGAUUGGAGCGGCCGAUGUCAGAUUAGGUAGUGGGUGGGGUAAAGGCUCACCAAGCCACCGAUCUGUAGCUGGUCUGAGACGACGACCAGCCACACUGGGACUGAGACACGGCCCAGACUCCUACGGGAGGCAGCAGUGGGGAAUUUUGGACAAUGGGCGCAAGCCUGAUCCAGCAAUGCCGCGUGCAGGAAGAAGGCCUUCGGGUUGUAAACUGCUUUUGUACGGAACGAAACGGUCCUGGUUAAUACCCGGGGCUAAUGACGGUACCGUAAGAAUAAGCACCGGCUAACUACGUGCCAGCCGCCGCCGUAAAAC